UUCCACGGAGUAAAGCACUCAGACACGUACUAGGUGCUCAGUAAGCAUUGGGCUUGGAGCAGAGGAGACCUUCCUGUCCAUCUUCCCACAAUGCUACCAAUUCCAGCCUUCCCCAGGGAGGCUCAGGGGAUUCCGGUCUCCAAACCAGACAUGAUUUCCCGGCUACGGCCAGCAGAGGAACCAUGGAUGCUGAAAAGAGAAGUGCCAUGAGGUUUCUGUCCAGGGUCUGGGCCUAGACCACUGGCUUGAUGCUUUUCGAUGGUUAUUCCUCUCCAGUAUGAAGGUUGACC